GGCGGGGAUUAGUGGCGAACGGGUGAGUAACACGUGGGCAAUCUGCCCUGCACUCUGGGACAAGCCCUGGAAACGGGGUCUAAUACCGGAUAUGACUGUCCAUCGCAUGGUGGAUGGUGUAAAGCUCCGGCGGUGCAGGAUGAGCCCGCGGCCUAUCAGCUUGUUGGUGAGGUAGUGGCUCACCAAGGCGACGACGGGUAGCCGGCCUGAGAGGGCGACCGGCCACACUGGGACUGAGACACGGCCCAGACUCCUACGGGAGGCAGCAGUGGGGAAUAUUGCACAAUGGGCGAAAGCCUGAUGCAGCGACGCCGCGUGAGGGAUGACGGCCUUCGGGUUGUAAACCUCUUUCAGCAGGGAAGAAGCGAAAGUGACGGUACCUGCAGAAGAAGCGCCGGCUAACUACGUGCCAGCAGCCGCGGUAAUACGUAGGGCGCAAGCGUUGUCCGGAAUUAUUGGGCGUAAAGAGCUCGUAGGCGGCUUGUCACGUCGGUUGUGAAAGCCCGGGGCUUAACCCCGGGUCUGCAGUCGAUACGGGCAGGCUAGAGUUCGGUAGGG
rnacentral:rRNA from 1 species